ACACUAACUGCACUGAGUAACUCUGCAUAGGAUUGCAGUCGCUCAUUUAGGACAACAAAAUGGUUAGCCCUGGGCUCGUGUAACUGACAACCAUAUAGAUUUAAGUUAUAUGUAAAUAUUAUUUGGGACUGCACAGCUCUGAGAAAGCUCCACUCAAAGGUGGUUCAGUAAAGCCAGUAUUAAAGAUGUCAUCUUCAGGAGGGAGAUCAGCAGUGAUUAGCCAAUAGUUGAAACUGUCAGUAAAACGCUCCUUGCUUGCACUAACGUAUUCUCUUUUCUACCUGGUCCUGUAGGGAGUUAAGCUUUUUACUGCGAAGAAGAGCUAGGAACUAAUAAAAGAACUAGAAGAUGCAUCAAAUGUACAAUGGCCCCCUGCAAGUUCAAUGUUCAUAGAUCAGAAAUACUGAAGAAUGAGGAAUAACGAACAUCUAAACUGGAGCUGCUAAGCCAACCAUCAGAAUACAAAUGCUCAAAGCAACUAAGCAUCGAGGUCACAGAGGCAGAGACCAGAGGGGUUACAGCUAGAAAUCACCGGCACUGUAAAAUUAGAAGCAACAAUGGUAUGGUUUAGAUGCACAAGUUGACAAAAAGAGAGUUUUAUGAAACUAGAAGAAAGGAGGUGGCUAGCUGCCAUUUAUGGCCAUUGUUAAACUUAGCCAGCUCACUGAAUCUAGCACUGACUUACAACUAAGUAAACAAGACUGGGUCAUUUAGACUGAGGUCAAGCAAGACUAAAGAUCACAGACUUUCAAAAGGACAUUGUACCCUAUGUUUUGGGCUUAAGGAAGAGUGCUUUCCUUCUAUCUUCCCAUAAGUGUAUCUCUGCAUGAGUAACCUCUUCCAAUCACCGAAAUGCCCAGAACAAUGACUUCCAUAGAAAUGCAGGGGAGAAAACCAGACCUGAGGACGGAGUAGACCUGCUUAGGAUAGCUCCCUUGAUCCCAAGUGCAUUAUCAACAGAAGACCUGAAUGUUUGUUACAAACCAUUGAGGUGGGGAACAUGAUAAACUUGUUCAAGAGCUUAUGUAAGACAUUUUUGUAAUUUUUGUUUCACCUCUAAUUUAAUUACAUACAAAAAUACACUCAA